rnacentral:rRNA from 1 species
UGCUCCUACGGGACGCAGCAGUGAGGAAUAUUGGUCAAUGGCCGGAAGGCUGGACCAGCCAAGUCGCGUGAGGGAAUAAGGCCGUAUGGGUCGUAAACCUCUUUUGUCAGGGAGCAAAGGCGUCCACGAGUGGACGAAAGGAGAGUACCUGAAGAAAAAGCAUCGGCUAACUCCGUGCCAGCAGCCGCGGUAAUACGGAGGAUGCGAGCGUUAUCCGGAUUUAUUGGGUUUAAAGGGUGCGUAGGCGGAGUGUCAAGUCAGCGGUAAAAUUUCGGGGCUCAACCCCGUCGUGCCGUUGAAACUGG